UUAAGUUAUUAAGGGCGCACGGUGGAUGCCUUGGCACUAGAAGCCGAUGAAGGACGUUACUAACGACGAUAUGCUUUGGGGAGCUGUAAGUAAGCUUUGAUCCAGAGAUUUCCGAAUGGGGAAACCCAGCAUGAGUUAUGUCAUGUUAUCGAUAUGUGAAUACAUAGCAUAUCAGAAGGCACACCCGGAGAACUGAAACAUCUUAGUACCCGGAGGAAGAGAAAGAAAAUUCGAUUCCCUUAGUAGCGGCGAGCGAAACGGGAAGAGCCCAAACCAACAAGCUUGCUUGUUGGGGUUGUAGGACACUCUGUACGGAGUUACAAAGGACGACAUUAGACGAAUCAUCUGGAAAGAUGAAUCAAAGAAGGUAAUAAUCCUGUAGUCGAAAAUGUUGUCUCUCUUGAGUGGAUCCUGAGUACGACGGAGCACGUGAAAUUCCGUCGGAAUCUGGGAGGACCAUCUCCUAAGGCUAAAUACUCUCUAGUGACCGAUAGUGAACCAGUACCGUGAGGGAAAGGUGAAAAGCACCCCGGAAGGGGAGUGAAAUAGAACCUGAAACCGUGUGCUUACAAGUAGUCAGAGCCCGUUAAUGGGUGAUGGCGUGCCUUUUGUAGAAUGAACCGGCGAGUUACGAUUUGAUGCAAGGUUAAGCAGUAAAUGUGGAGCCGUAGCGAAAGCGAGUCUGAAUAGGGCGUUUAGUAUUUGGUCGUAGACCCGAAACCAGGUGAUCUACCCUUGGUCAGGUUGAAGUUCAGGUAACACUGAAUGGAGGACCGAACCGACUUACGUUGAAAAGUGAGCGGAUGAACUGAGGGUAGCGGAGAAAUUCCAAUCGAACCUGGAGAUAGCUGGUUCUCUCCGAAAUAGCUUUAGGGCUAGCCUCAAGUGAUGAUUAUUGGAGGUAGAGCACUGUUUGGACGAGGGGCCCCUCUCGGGUUACCGAAUUCAGACAAACUCCGAAUGCCAAUUAAUUUAACUUGGGAGUCAGAACAUGGGUGAUAAGGUCCGUGUUCGAAAGGGAAACAGCCCAGACCACCAGCUAAGGUCCCAAAAUAUAUGUUAAGUGGAAAAGGAUGUGGCGUUGCCCAGACAACUAGGAUGUUGGCUUAGAAGCAGCCAUCAUUUAAAGAGUGCGUAAUAGCUCACUAGUCGAGUGACACUGCGCCGAAAAUGUACCGGGGCUAAACAUAUUACCGAAGCUGUGGAUUGUCCUUUGGACAAUGGUAGGAGAGCGUUCUAAGGGCGUUGAAGCAUGAUCGUAAGGACAUGUGGAGCGCUUAGAAGUGAGAAUGCCGGUGUGAGUAGCGAAAGACGGGUGAGAAUCCCGUCCACCGAUUGACUAAGGUUUCCAGAGGAAGGCUCGUCCGCUCUGGGUUAGUCGGGUCCUAAGCUGAGGCCGACAGGCGUAGGCGAUGGAUAACAGGUUGAUAUUCCUGUACCACCUAUAAUCGUUUUAAUCGAUGGGGGGACGCAGUAGGAUAGGCGAAGCGUGCGAUUGGAUUGCACGUCUAAGCAGUAAGGCUGAGUAUUAGGCAAAUCCGGUACUCGUUAAGGCUGAGCUGUGAUGGGGAGAAGACAUUGUGUCUUCGAGUCGUUGAUUUCACACUGCCGAGAAAAGCCUCUAGAUAGAAAAUAGGUGCCCGUACCGCAAACCGACACAGGUAGUCAAGAUGAGAAUUCUAAGGUGAGCGAGCGAACUCUCGUUAAGGAACUCGGCAAAAUGACCCCGUAACUUCGGGAGAAGGGGUGCUCUUUAGGGUUAACGCCCAGAAGAGCCGCAGUGAAUAGGCCCAAGCGACUGUUUAUCAAAAACACAGGUCUCUGCUAAACCGUAAGGUGAUGUAUAGGGGCUGACGCCUGCCCGGUGCUGGAAGGUUAAGAGGAGUGGUUAGCUUCUGCGAAGCUACGAAUCGAAGCCCCAGUAAACGGCGGCCGUAACUAUAACGGUCCUAAGGUAGCGAAAUUCCUUGUCGGGUAAGUUCCGACCCGCACGAAAGGCGUAACGAUUUGGGCACUGUCUCAACGAGAGACUCGGUGAAAUCAUAGUACCUGUGAAGAUGCAGGUUACCCGCGACAGGACGGAAAGACCCCGUGGAGCUUUACUGUAGCCUGAUAUUGAAAUUCGGCACAGCUUGUACAGGAUAGGUAGGAGCCUUUGAAACGUGAGCGCUAGCUUACGUGGAGGCGCUGGUGGGAUACUACCCUAGCUGUGUUGGCUUUCUAACCCGCACCACUUAUCGUGGUGGGAGACAGUGUCAGGCGGGCAGUUUGACUGGGGCGGUCGCCUCCUAAAAGGUAACGGAGGCGCUCAAAGGUUCCCUCAGAAUGGUUGGAAAUCAUUCAUAGAGUGUAAAGGCAUAAGGGAGCUUGACUGCGAGACCUACAAGUCGAGCAGGGUCGAAAGACGGACUUAGUGAUCCGGUGGUUCCGCAUGGAAGGGCCAUCGCUCAACGGAUAAAAGCUACCCCGGGGAUAACAGGCUUAUCUCCCCCAAGAGUUCACAUCGACGGGGAGGUUUGGCACCUCGAUGUCGGCUCGUCGCAUCCUGGGGCUGUAGUCGGUCCCAAGGGUUGGGCUGUUCGCCCAUUAAAGCGGUACGCGAGCUGGGUUCAGAACGUCGUGAGACAGUUCGGUCCCUAUCCGUCGUGGGCGUAGGAAAUUUGAGAGGAGCUGUCCUUAGUACGAGAGGACCGGGAUGGACAUACCUCUGGUGUACCAGUUGUCGUGCCAACGGCAUAGCUGGGUAGCUAUGUGUGGACGGGAUAAGUGCUGAAAGCAUCUAAGCAUGAAGCCCCCCUCAAGAUGAGAUUUCCCAACUUCGGUUAUAAGAUCCCUCAAAGAUGAUGAGGUUAAUAGGUUCGAGGUGGAAGCAUGGUGACAUGUGGAGCUGACGAAUACUAAUCGAUCGAAGACUUAAUCAA
rnacentral:rRNA from 1 species